rnacentral:rRNA from 1 species
AUUGAACGCUGGCGGCAGGCCUAACACAUGCAAGUCGAGCGGAGCGGCGGACGGGUGAGUAAUGCCUAGGAAUCUGCCUGGUAGUGGGGGAUAACGUCCGGAAACGGGCGCUAAUACCGCAUACUAUCAGAUGAGCCUAGGUCGGAUUAGAUAGUGGGUGGGGUAAAGGCCUACAAAGGCGACGAUCCGUAACUGGUCUGAGAGGAUGAUCAGUCACACGGGAAUGGAGAAACGGUCCAGACUCCUACGGGAGGCAGCAGUGGGAAAUAUUGGACAAUGGGCGAAAGCCUGAUGCAGCCAGGCCGCGUGGGGAAAAAAGGUCUUCGGAUUUUAAAGCACUUUGAGUUGGGAGACGUUACCAACAGAAUAAGCACCGGCUAACUUCGUGCCAGCAGCCGCGGUAAUAC